rnacentral:rRNA from 1 species
UGGGGAAUAUUGGACAAUGGGGGCAACCCUGAUCCAGCCAUGCCGCGUGAGUGAUGAAGGCCCUAGGGUUGUAAAGCUCUUUUACCAGGGAUGAUAAUGACAGUACCUGGAGAAUAAGCUCCGGCUAACUCCGUGCCAGCAGCCGCGGUAAUACGGAGGGAGCUAGCGUUGUUCGGAAUUACUGGGCGUAAAGCGCGCGUAGGCGGCUUUCCAAGUCAGAGGUGAAAUCCCGGGGCUCAACCCCGGAACUGCCUUUGAAACUGGAUGGCUAGAAUAUGGUAGAGGUAAGUGGAAUUCCGAGUGUAGAGGUGAAAUUCGUAGAUAUUCGGAAGAACACCAGUGGCGAAGGCGACUUACUGGGCCAUUAUUGACGCUGAGGUGCGAAAGCGUGGGGAGCAAACAGGAUUAGAUACCCCCGUAGUCC